AAAUUUGCAUGUAUUGUCAGGAUGAUCAGCUAUUGGAUGCUUUUCACGUGAUUGCUAAAUGCUCUAAGUUAGAAAAAAUUCGGGAAAGUGUGUUUGGAACUUCUAUUAUUCCGUUGGAGAAUUUUUUGGAACUUAUUACUAAUAUAAUGAUCCCUUGUACGGAGUGACGUACAUCGUUGUUUAUUUUGCAUAUUGGAGUAUUCGUUUUUGCCGAAAGGUGGCAUUUGUUUUUUCCUUAAAAGUGUGCUUGUGGCUAAGAAGUGUUGGGAGACUAUCCACAUUUUGGAUAAGAUAAUUGAAUCCUUUUUCUUUUAUAGAAUUAUCGCAGAGAAAUUUGCAUGUAUUGUCAGGAUGAUCAGCUAUUGGAUGCUUUUCACGUGAUUGCUAAAUGCUCUAAGUUAGGAAAAAUUUGGGAAAGUGUGUUUGGAAGUUCUAUUAUUCCAUUGGAUAAUUUUUUGGAACUUAUUACUAAUUUAAUGACCCCUUGUACGGAGUGACGUACAUCGUUGUUUAUUUUGCAUAUUGGAGUAUUCGUUUUUGCCGAAAGGUGGCAUUUGUUUUUUCCUUAAAAGUGUGCUUGUGGCUAAGAAGUGUUGGGAGACUAUCCACAUUUUGGAUAAGAUAAUUGAAUCCUUUUUCUUUUAUAGAUGGGUGUAAUUAAUGUUUUUUUCUUUAUAUAAUGAUGAUUUCGGUUGGAUAGUUCUCCCCAUGAUGAUUUUUUGUUAUGUUAUAUGUCUAUAUUUGGAUAUUUGGCUUUCAGAUAUUUAUUUUUUCAGAUAUUUAUUUUUGAUGUUUAUAAUAAUACUUGUAUAAUUUGUUUUGAUUUAUGUAUAUGCUAAUUUUCUCUGUAAUAAUGGAUGGAUUAUGAUAUUUUUUGUGUAAUGUACAUGUAACGAAUUAUUGUAUACCCCGCAUCAUGGGCUCUGCCUAGUAUGUCUAAUUAA